UGGGGAAUUUUGGACAAUGGGGGAAACCCCUGAUCCAGCCAUCCCGCGUGUGCGAUGAAGGCCUUCGGGUUGUAAAGCACUUUUGGCAGGAAAGAAACGUCGCGGGUUAAUACCCCGCGAAACUGACGGUACCUGCAGAAUAAGCACCGGCUAACUACGUGCCAGCAGCCGCGGUAAUACGUAGGGUGCAAGCGUUAAUCGGAAUUACUGGGCGUAAAGCGUGCGCAGGCGGUUCGGAAAGAAAGAUGUGAAAUCCCAGAGCUUAACUUUGGAACUGCAUUUUUAACUACCGGGCUAGAGUGUGUCAGAGGGAGGUGGAAUUCCGCGUGUAGCAGUGAAAUGCGUAGAUAUGCGGAGGAACACCGAUGGCGAAGGCAGCCUCCUGGGAUAACACUGACGCUCAUGCACGAAAGCGUGGGGAGCAAACAGGAUUAGAUACCCCUGGUAGUCCACGCCCCUAAACGAUGUCAACUAGCUGUUGGGGCCUUCGGGCCUUGGUAGCGCAGCUAACGCGUGAAGUUGACCGCCUGGGGGAGUACGGUCGCAAGAUUAAACUC
rnacentral:rRNA from 1 species